rnacentral:rRNA from 1 species
AUGAACGCUGGUGGCAUGCUUAAUACAUGUAAGUCGAACGAGGUGCUUUUGUCUUCGGAUGAGAGUAUCCUAGUGGCGAACGGGUGAGUAACGCGUUGGUGACCUGCCCCGAAGUGUGGGAUAACAGUUCGAAAGGACUGCUAAUACCGCAUGUGAUCUUGGAGAUUAGAACCUCUUUGAUUAAAGGAUUUAUUCGCUUCGGGAGGGGCCUGCGUCCCAUCAGCUAGUUGGUAGGGUAAUGGCCUACCAAGGCUUUGACGGGUAGGGGACCUGAGAGGGUGGCCCCCCACAAUGGAACUGAAACACGGUCCAUACACCUACGGGUGGCAGCAGUAGGGAAUAUUAGUAAUGGGCGAAAGCCUGAACUAGCAACACCGCGUGUGCGAUGAAGGCCUUCGGGUUGUAAAGCACUUUUCGGGAGGAUGAGGAAGGACGGUACUCCCGGAAUAAGUCUCGGCUAACUACGU